rnacentral:rRNA from 1 species
UACAGAGGUCUCAAGCGUUGUUCGGAUUCAUUGGGCGUAAAGGGCUCGUAGGCGGUCUGUUGCGUCGGGAGUGAAAACUUACAGCUUAACUGUGAGCGUGCUUUCGAUACGGGCAGACUUGAGGCAUUCAGGGGAGAACGGAAUUCCUGGUGUAGCGGUGAAAAUGCGCAGAUAUCAGGAGGAACACCGGUGGCGAAGGCGGUUCUCUGGGAAUGUCCUGACGUGAGGAGCGAAAGUGUGGGGAGCGAACAGG